UUGCACUGUUCGUAACCUGAGAUCAGCUUUAAUAUCUGGUCUUGGGUUCCAUUCCAGUGCAACAUUAAUCUGUCAUCUUGAACGACUGGCAGUCAGCACUGUGUUGUCCUGCUUGUUCCACAGUUUGAUACACAAAU